GGGCGAGUGGCGAAAUGGCAGACGCGCUAGCUUCAGGUGCUAGUGAUCGUAAGAUCGUGGGGGUUCAAGUCCCCCCUCGCCCAC
rnacentral:tRNA from 1 species